rnacentral:rRNA from 1 species
UACGUAGGUGGCAAGCGUUGUCCGGAUUUACUGGGCGUAAAGAGCGCGCAGGCGGUCGUAUAAGUCGAAUGUGAAAGCCCCCGGCUCAACUGGGGAGGGUCAUUCGAUACUGUUCGACUCGAAGGCAGGAGAGGGAAGUGGAAUUCCGGGUGUAGUGGUGAAAUGCGUAGAUAUCCGGAGGAACACCAGUGGCGAAGGCGACUUCCUGGCCUGUUCUUGACGCUGAGGCGCGAAAGCUAGGGGAGCAAACGGGG